GCUUAAUUAGUUUAAUUUAAAAUAUUGAUUUGUGGGGUCAGAGAUACUUUAUGUUUUAAGCA
rnacentral:tRNA from 1 species